ACAGUGCCAAUCCUGAAUGUAUUGAAUUUGUGACCAUUAUGCUCAUAAUGGUCACAAAUUCAGUACAUUCAGGAUUGAAAUACAAUUGU